rnacentral:rRNA from 1 species
UACGGGAGGCAGCAGUGGGGAAUAUUGCACAAUGGGCGAAAGCCUGAUGCAGCUAUGCCGCGUGUAUGAAGAAGGCCUUAGGGUUGUAAAGUACUUUCAUCGGGGAGGAAAAACAAAACUAAUAAUUUUAUUUCUUGACGUUACCCGAAAAAGAAGCACCGGCUAACUCCGUGCCAGCAGCCGCGGUAAUACGGAGGGUGCUAGCGUUAAUCAGAAUUACUGGGCGUAAAGAGCACGUAGGUGGUUUUUUUAAGUCAGAUGUGAAAUCCCUGGGCUUAACCUGGAACUGCAUUUUGAAACUGAAAUACUAGAGUAUCGUAGAGGGAGGUAGAAUUCUAGGUGUAGCGGUGAAAUGCGUAGAUAUCUGGAGGAAUACCUGUGGCGAAAGCGGCCUCCUAAACGAAUACUGACACUGAGGUGCGAAAGCGUGGGGAGCAAACGAGGGAUUAGAUACCCGU